GACGAACGCUGGCGGCGUGCUUAACACAUGCAAGUCGAACGGAAAGGCCCUGCUUUUGUGGGGUGCUCGAUUGGCGAACGGGUGAGUAACACGUGAGUAACCUGCCCUUGACUUUGGGAUAACUUCAGGAAACUGGGGCUAAUACCGGAUAGGAGCUCCUGCUGCAUGGUGGGGGUUGGAAAGUUUCGGCGGUUGGGGAUGGACUCGCGGCUUAUCAGCUUGUUGGUGGGGUAGUGGCUUACCAAGGCUUUGACGGGUAGCCGGCCUGAGAGGGUGACCGGCCACAUUGGGACUGAGAUACGGCCCAGACUCCUACGGGAGGCAGCAGUGGGGAAUAUUGCACAAUGGGAGGAAGCCUGAUGCAGCAACGCCGCGUGCGGGAUGACGGCCUUCGGGUUGUAAACCGCUUUCGUCUGUGACGAAGCGUGAGUGACGGUAAUAGGUAAAGAAGCACCGGCUAACUACGUG
rnacentral:rRNA from 1 species